GAUGAACGCUGGCGGCGUGCCUAAUACAUGCAAGUCGAGCGAACGGACGAGAAGCUUGCUUCUCUGAUGUUAGCGGCUGACGGGUGAGUAACACGUGGAUAACCUACCUAUAAGACUGGGAUAACUUCGGGAAACCGGAGCUAAUACCGGAUAAUAUUUUGAACCGCAUGGUUCAAAAGUGAAAGACGGUCUUGCUGUCACUUAUAGAUGGAUCCGCGCUGCAUUAGCUAGUUGGUAAGGUAACGGCUUACCAAGGCAACGAUGCAUAGCCGACCUGAGAGGGUGAUCGGCCACACUGGAACUGAGACACGGUCCAGACUCCUACGGGAGGCAGCAGUAGGGAAUCUUCCGCAAUGGGCGAAAGCCUGACGGAGCAACGCCGCGUGAGUGAUGAAGGUCUUCGGAUCGUAAAACUCUGAUAUUAGGGAAGAACAUAUGUGUAAGUAACUGUGCACAUCUUGACGGUACCUAAUCAGAAAGCCACGGCUAACUACGUG
rnacentral:rRNA from 1 species